rnacentral:rRNA from 1 species
UCUGCAACUCGACUACAUGAAGCUGGAAUCGCUAGUAAUCGCGAAUCAGAAUGUCGCGGUGAAUACGUUCCCGGGUCUUGUACACACCGCCCGUCACACCAUGGGAGUCGGAUAUGCCCGAAGUCAGUGACCCAACCAUAUGGAGGGAGCUGCCGAAGGUGGAGCCGAUAACUGGGGUGAAGUCGUAACAAGGUACC